rnacentral:rRNA from 1 species
CCUACGGGAGGCUGCAGUGGGGAAUAUUGGACAAUGGGGGGAACCCUGAUCCAGCCAUGCCGCGUGUGUGAAGAAGGCCCUCGGGUUGUAAAGCACUUUCAGUGAGGAAGAACGCCUGGUGGUUAAUACCCAUCAGGAAAGACAUCACUCACAGAAGAAGCACCGGCUAACUCCGUGCCAGCAGCCGCGGUAAUACGGAGGGUGCGAGCGUUAAUCGGAAUUACUGGGCGUAAAGCGCGCGUAGGUGGCUUGAUAAGCCGGUUGUGAAAGCCCCGGGCUCAACCUGGGAACGGCAUCCGGAACUGUCAAGCUAGAGGGCAGGAGAGGAAGGUAGAAUUCCCGGUGUAGCGGUGAAAUGCGUAGAGAUCGGGAGGAAUACCAGUGGCGAAGGCGGCCUUCUGGACUGACACUGACACUGAGGUGCGAAAGCGUGGGUAGCAAACAGGAUUAGAUACACUAGUAGUC